AUUGAACGCUGGCGGCAGGCCUAACACAUGCAAGUCGAACGGUAACAGGGAUCAGCUUGCUGAUUCGCUGACGAGUGGCGGACGGGUGAGUAAUGUCUGGGAAACUGCCUGAUGGAGGGGGAUAACUACUGGAAACGGUAGCUAAUACCGCAUAACGUCGCAAGACCAAAGAGGGGGACCUUCGGGCCUCUUGCCAUCGGAUGUGCCCAGAUGGGAUUAGCUAGUAGGUGGGGUAACGGCUCACCUAGGCGACGACCCCUAGCUGGUCUGAGAGGAUGACCAGCCACACUGGAACUGAGACACGGUCCAGACUCCUACGGGAGGCAGCAGUGGGGAAUAUUGCACAAUGGGCGCAAGCCUGAUGCAGCCAUGCCGCGUGUAUGAAGAAGGCCUUCGGGUUGUAAAGUACUUUCAGCGGGGAGGAAGGGAGUAAAGUUAAUACCUUUGCUCAUUGACGUUACCCGCAGAAGAAGCACCGGCUAACUCCGUG
rnacentral:rRNA from 1 species